GAUGAACGCUGGCGGCGUGCCUAAUACAUGCAAGUCGAGCGAACGGACGAGAAGCUUGCUUCUCUGAUGUUAGCGGCGGACGGGUGAGUAACACGUGGACAACCUACCUAUAAGACUGGGAUAACUUCGGGAAACCGUAGCUAAUACCGGAUAAUAUUUUGAACCGCAUGGUUCAAAAGUGAAAGACGGUCUUGCUGUCACUUAUAGAUGGAUCCGCGCUGCAUUAGCUAGUUGGUAAGGUAACGGCUUACCAAGGCAACGAUGCAUAGCCGACCUGAGAGGGUGAUCGGCCACACUGGAACUGAGACACGGUCCAGACUCCUACGGGAGGCAGCAGUAGGGAAUCUUCCGCAAUGGGCGAAAGCCUGGCGGAGCAACGCCGCGUGAGUGAUGAAGGUCUUCGGAUCGUAAAACUCUGUUAUUAGGGAAGAACAUAUGUGUAAGUAACUGUGCACAUCUUGACGGUACCUAAUCAGAAAGCCACGGCUAACUACGUG
rnacentral:rRNA from 1 species